rnacentral:tRNA from 1 species
GAGGGUGUAGCUCAAGUGGUAGAGCACAUGCCUAGCAUACAUAAGGUCCUGGGUUCAAUCCCCAGCACCCCCU